GAUGAGCGCUGGCGGCGUGCUUAACACAUGCAAGUCGACGAUGAAGCUGGAGCUUGCUCUAGCGGAUUAGUGGCGAACGGGUGAGUAACACGUGAGCAAUCUGCCCUUGACUCUGGGAUAACUGCGGGAAACUGUAGCUAAUACCGGAUACUUUCACCGGGGGGCAUCCUCUGGUGAUGAAAGAAUUUCGGUCAAGGAUGAGCUCGCGGCCUAUCAGCUUGUUGGUGAGGUAACGGCUCACCAAGGCGACGACGGGUAACCGGCCUGAGAGGGUGACCGGUCACACUGGGACUGAGACACGGCCCAGACUCCUACGGGAGGCAGCAGUGGGGAAUAUUGCACAAUGGGCGCAAGCCUGAUGCAGCAACGCCGCGUGAGGGAUGAAGGCCUUCGGGUUGUAAACCUCUUUUAGCAGGGAAGAAGCGAAAGUGACGGUACCUGCAGAAAAAGCACCGGCUAACUACGUGCCAGCCGCCGCAGUAA
rnacentral:rRNA from 1 species